rnacentral:rRNA from 1 species
UACCAGCUCUCCGAGUGGUAGGGAUGAUUAUUGGGCUUAAAGCGUCCGUAGCCGGCUUAGCAAGUCUCCUGUUAAAUUCAGCGACCUAAUCGUUGAGCCGCAGGAGAUACUACUAGGCUAGGAGGCGGGAGAGGACAACGGUACUUCCGGGGUAGGGGUGAAAUCCUAUAAUCCCGGGAGGACCACCAGUGGCGAAGGCUGUUGACUAGAACGCGCUCGACGGUGAGGGACGAAAGCUGGGGGAGCGAACCGGAUUAGAUACCCGGGUAGUCCCAGCUGUAAACGAUGCGAGCUAGGUGUUGGGGUGGCUACGUGCCACUUCAGUGCCGCAGGGAAGCCAUUAAGCUCGCCGCCUGGGGAUACGGCCGCAAGGCUGAAACUUAAAGAAAUUGGCGGGGAGCACCACAAGGCGUGAAGCUUACGGUUC